rnacentral:rRNA from 1 species
UUUAAGCAUAUCACUCAGUGGAGGAAAUGCAAGCAACAGCGAUUGCUUCAGUAAUGGCGAAUGAACCAGCAACACACAUGGCUCUCCCCGAAAGCAAGGUUCCCAAUGCCCUGCCUGGCAGGAGUGAUCGGCUAUCAUGGAACUAGAGAGAACUUGUGGGCUAUGGAGUGGUUGGCUGUGCUGUAGUGAGUCAUGGCACCAGGAAGAGCUCUGGAAAGGGCCACAAUAGAGGGAAACUGUCCCCUGCGCUUGAUGAGUGUUGUGACCCACUGCGGUGCUGCCAAUUGCAUCCUGGAGUAGAGUGGCUUGGGACUGCAGUUUGAAGUGUGAGGUGUAUCCAUCAUAAGGAAGCAUACAGACCUGAGACCGAUAGUGCACAAGUAGAGUGAUCGAAGGAUGCAAAGAACUCCGCGAAGAGGGUUAAAAGUCCCUGAAGCCUCAACAGGAACGGUGGUGAGUGGUGCUGUGGCCACUGUCCAGACAGGCACUGGCUGUUGUCAGACAGUCAGAUUGCAGUCUCUGGCAAUGAGUGUUCCCAAGUGGCCUCAGGCCAGCCCUUUGCUGGCUGCUGAGCCCUGGUCUUCAGACCAGGAUGCAAUCGUGGCAGCUUGAAGGUGGCAUCCUGCUUGCCAGGGCCUGAGGUUUGCAAUGAUCUUUGUGAAAGGGCUAUCAGAUUCCACAAGGCACAGAAGGUGUCUCAGGCAGUGCAUGCAUGGUCCCCACAUUGGGGCAACUGUCCCUGACCCUCUCGUGCUGGUAUGUGAAAGGUAUAGAUGGCACUGAUCCUGACAUGUCUCCGGACGUGUCAGUCGCUGUGGCUCCCCAUGGCUCGGGGUCUGGUGGCUGUAUGGUGACUGCACCAUCCUGAUGGUGGUCACUGUGCUUGGCUGCUGAUCCUCCAGAGGGAGCCCAGUGCAGAAGGCAGUUGAGCUUGGCAUGUUUCCCUAGCAGUGCCACUCUCUGCCCGUCUUGAAACACGGACCAAGGAGUCUAUGGAGCUGGCAAGUUGCAUGGUGCUAUUCAUUGAAACCACAGGGCAUGGUGAAGGCAAAUCAUUCCAGAUCAUUGCUGCAUGGGACACCGGAUCCGAAGUCCAGUGGACAGGGUUUUGAGUGCUUGCAAGGUCCAUGGGACCCGAAAGGUGGUGAACUAUACCGUUCUACGACGAAGCCAUGGGAAACUGUGGUGGAAGUCGGUCGCUGUUCUGACGUGCAAAUCGUGUAGCCUGAGUGCGGCAUAGGGGUGAAAGGCCAAUCGAGCCACCUAGUAGCUGGUUCCCUUCGAAGUUUCCCUCAGGAUAGCUGGGCUCGAAUGAACCUCUGCAAAGUGGUUAUGUCCGGUAAAGCAACGCAUGAGAGGCAACUCUGGGGAGACUCUCUCCUCAACCUAUUCUCGAACUGUGAAUGGGCAUGGCAAACCCAUCAGGCAUGCUUCUUCACAAUGCCUGGAGUCCAUGUCACAGUGGUUCUCCUUAGGCUUCUGAGCAUGUUUGGCAAGAGUGGUGGCCUGUCUCUGUUAGAGUUCCCAAGCAGUUGUGCCUCCCUGUUGGGCCAAUCUGCCAAAGGAUGUCAUGUGCUGGUGAGAGCGCCCAUCAUCAAGAGAUGGCCACCUAUCUGCGUGUGAACACAAGUGCCUAUGUGGGCCAUGACUGGUAAGCAGUGCUGGCGAUGCGGGUUGCUCCNAGAGUGGAUUUACAGAUCCGGAAUCCUGGCUCAUACUCAGAUCCCACAAAGGAUGUCGAUUGUUCUGGAUAGCAGGACGGUGGCCAUGAAGGUUGGAAUCCGCUGAGGAAUGUGUAACAACUCACCUGCCGAAACUUUCAGCUCCGAAAAUGGAUGGUGCCCAAGUCAGUGAAGCUCCCUCACAAUCCACCAUCGCUGUGGAAGCCAAAGCAGAGCAUCGUUGUGUAGAAAGGGCAUGAGAGAUUGCAGAGCUGGUCAGGGCCAACCCUGGCUGGAGUGUCUUCUGGUGCAGAUCUUGGUUGUAGUAGCGAGUACUCCAUCGGGUGAAGAGUGGAUAACCCCACAGUAUGCGAUUGAGGACUGGAGUGGAGCAGGUUUCCACACCAACAGCCGUUGAAUGUGGGUCAACCGACCGUGAGCCAAGUGGUAAGUUCACCGAACAACCAAAGCUGCCUGGGCCCUUGGGCUCUUGGAUUGGACACAACACUGGAUCACCUCCUGCAAAGGUUGUGACUGCUAAGGGUAAUACUUGCUUCAGUGUCAGAGACCAAAGGAGCACUGGCAGGAGUGGCAAACAGGCAAGCAUGUGCAACAUUCUGCUGUGAUGGGAUUGGGACAUCUUGGGACGGCAACGUUCCUCUACACCGAGCAAGCUUCGGGGCAGUGAAGCCCCCGAGGAGUUAUCGUUUCCUCCUGAUGCAGACUCAUGUGGGCUAUCGAUUGGCAUUUCAUGAUGGUGGUGUAUGUCCUCCGCUCAGCAAGGCAGUGUGGCCUCCACACUGGUGGCCUCAGAAUUCGUAUAUCACUCUGCACCUGGACUCUGUGUCCCUGAUGCUGACAAACCGACCCAAUGGUGGUCACUGGCUCCAAUGAAAGGCUUGUGGGCUGCAGUGUCCCAGAUCCCUGGUCCUCGUACUGGAUCACCGCAGCCGGUCUCCUCGACAAGAAGUCGCUAGUCUACGGACGAAAUGCAACUAAGGGAAGUCGGCAAACUGGCUGCGCACCUUCGGAAGAUGCAGUGGCUCCAGAGGCCAGGUCGAGAGGCCCUGUUGAGAGCUUUGUGGCUGCAGGGUGAUCGCCUUGUGGGGUGUCUUCGGAUGUUCUGCUUGGUCGAACCCCUCAGCCGCACUGUGACUGGCAGGGGUUGUAUCACUAGAUUCGGCCAUCCUCUUGUCUACACAGUGGCUCAUGUGGAACUGAUGCCGUGCAGGGGAAUCUGACUGUUUAAUUGAAACACAGCUUUGUGAAGGGACCAGCUGGCUGGUGCCAUGAGGUGACUUCUGCCCAGUGCUCUGAUUGUCAAUGCGAAGAGAUUCAGCCAAGCGCGGGUAAACGGCGGGAGUAACUAUGACUCUCUUAAGGUAGCCAAAUGCCUCGUCAACCAAUUAUUGACGCGCAUGAAUGGAUCAACGAGAUUCCUGCUGUCCCUAGUCGCUGUCUGGUGAACCAACAGCCAAGGGAACGGGCUUGGA